CAACCCUUGUUAAUGAAUGGUUUGGCCUGUUUUUCUCUGCAGUAAAUUGAGACAUCAAGCUCGCCAUGUGAGAGCUGGAUACAAGAUGAUGAGUGCACAUUAUAAAUGAUAUCAUCAGAAGGUAUUUGACACUUACAUCACACUUAAAAACGUCUCAGAUGCUGCAGGAUUUUUCUCUUCACUAAUGUCACUUUUCUUCAUGUUUGAAGUCUCGCUUUGAAUCUGCCGGUGAUUUUUAGUGGAUGUUUGAAGUCAGUUCUCCUCAGGUUCACACAGGUGUCCUAUUAGAGGAACCACAGGUGUAGAAAAUCACAUAAACUAUCAACACAUUCACUAACCUCAAACACAUUACAUUUUCAAGCUGAUCUUUGCCAACAGAGAAAAUGUGCUUAGAAAGUGUGCUUGUGCCAUUUCUAAAUGAAUGACACUUUCUGUGAUUUUUUUUAUUUAAUGCAGUGACUUUCAGACAUUUUUGUGUCAAUUAAGUUGUAUUUGAAGAUGAAACAACAUGGUUACAUGCACAUGGGUUAACAUGUGCAGUCUGUUUGGAGGACUUCAGGACAAAAGAUGAGCGUGGAGUGUUACCAUGCCAACACGCCUUUCACGAGAGGUGUCUGGUGAAGUGAGAUCUUCAUGUCCCAUAUGCAACAACCCCAUCAGUGCUGCUCUGGGGCAAACGCACAGCCCGGGAAACCUGCUGGAUGAGCUGCUCUAAACCUGCUUUUCUGCCAAACUCGAACCUCAUUAAGGUUAACUUCGAAUGAAGUUCUCUGAUACGGGCGACAUUUUUACCUAAUAAUCUUGUACAAUUCAGACAAAAGACGUUUAUUUAAAAGCUCUGCUGUUGCAAAGCAUCAUUUGUAAUGUUUUUUUGUAUGUCUGGUUUAAAAUGUUUGCAUAAUGUUUACAU